UUCAGAAGACAACAGGGUGGGGAAAGCACCGGUGAGGAAGACGAUGAGACCCGCAACCAGUCCGACGCCGAGGUGAAUUCCCGGCAAGGCUCGAAGGAGGAGAUUAGGGCGCUGCGGCGUGAGAGCACCGAUGACUGGGACGCAAUCGAGGCCGAGAGCAAGGCUCAGCGGGACUCCCUCG
rnacentral:ribozyme from 2 species